rnacentral:rRNA from 1 species
UACGUAGGGUGCGAGCGUUGUCCGGAAUUAUUGGGCGUAAAGAGCUCGUAGGCGGUCUGUCGCGUCGAUCGUGAAAACUUGGGGCUUAACCCUGAGCUUGCGGUCGAUACGGGCAUGACUGGAGUUCGGCAGGGGAGACUGGAAUUCCUGGUGUAGCGGUGAAAUGCGUAGAUAUCUGGAAGAACACCAGUGGCGAAGGCGGUCAACUGGCUCUUAACUGACGCUCAGGCACGAAAGCGUGGGUAGCGAACAGG